rnacentral:lncRNA from 1 species
CCAAUGAUUCAUCUAAAUUAAUGAGAAAAGUUAAUAAAAGUUAGCAUUUCCAAAACAAAUUAAGGGCAUAAAUCGAGAUAGUAUAUAAUAAGAAUCUAGGCCGUUGGCCUAAAUUCUCUUUGCUGCUGCCAUGGUGUUAUUAUUGCCGAUCUAAUUGGACUUUUUAAGUCCAAAAAAGAAUCCAAUUUUCAAUCCUUUGGGGCUGCUGCCAUCCUGCUGGUUAAAUGAGACUCUUUUAAGUCCAAAUUUUCCAAUUUUCAGCUUUUGGGAGUGUCGUAACUCUGCUAUAGAGCUGCUGCCCGUGGUUUGGAUUUUAACCCGUUAAUAUUAGCUUCUGUUUCACGUCUCGGAUGAGAUUGACUCAAAAGAGAGGAGUAUGCAAGAAGGGGGGAGUCCAUUGGACUCAAAUGAAUGUCACAUGCGAAGAAAGGAAAGGAAGUAACGUUAGAACUAACAUAAAAUAAUAAUAAUAAUAGUACAAUAAAAUAAAAAAUCAAGCUAAGCUGCUAACUUAGCAUUACAGAAAAAAAAACUUAGAAUCUAUCAACAUCUAACUACCAUCUUAAGAGUAGGCCUUCUACUAAUAACCAAAAUAAGGAACAUGCAUGAUUAACAACUAAAAAAAAUUAAACACUUAGUGCGAGAUUUUUUUUUAUUUUUAAAAUAAGCUAAAACAAACAGAGGAGUCAUAAUAUUUAGCUUAGCUACUGAUGUGCAGAAAAACAUUGGAUAAACAAUAACAGAACACUACUUUGGAACAAUAUCUUUGGAGCCAAAAAUCCACUCAUAAUGUAAACCAAACUCAAAAGAUCCAACUAAAACUUAUACCAUCAGAGGUUCUAUGAGAAAUCUAGAACUAAACAUGUGCAAAGGGACCCAAGAAAUUCAAAUAAGAGAGGAAAAACAGAGAAAUUGAUUCAAUUUAAAAUAGCUAACAAAGCUAAACAAAGCAGUGGGAACAAUAAGCAAUUGAUCAAUGAAAAAUGGAAAACAACGCAUGCUAAACUUGUUGUGAACGAGGCUCUAGGUCUCAAGUUAAACUUCAUAACGAAUAUUUAAAAUUCAACCCCUAAUAGAAUCAAACUACUCAGGUAAGCAGACCAACACUUAAUACCAUACCUAAGUUGAACCUUUAAAACCAGCCUCGGGACAAAACAGAGAGCAGAAAAUAAGAUAAUACUAUCAUGUAGCAUUUAAAUGUAAAUCCAAGAAACUCUAUACUCAAAUUCAAGUAGGGGUCUGAGGAUGGUAAAUCAAUAUACUUUAGGAUGCAUAAGAGCCACGAUAUAAGCUUUCAUUCAUCCAAGCCUAGCUCUUUGGAGAAUGCUAAAGAGCAACCCCAAAGGUAAGCUAUUUUCAACACAAACAUGACAGUCGAGCUAGCAAGAAUGAUGCAUUUUUUAGGCUUUUUUCUGUCUAAUCAGAUGUAAUGCAAAACCAAAUAAGUAAAAUUUGCUAUUUAUCAUAGACAAGUUCAUAUUUCACGAAAAGGAAAAGUCUUAAGAAAAAGAACUUAAGCUUAGAUCAACAACACCAAUAGCCUUCUCUAACUACAUGAUUCAUCCUAGUCUAUAUACAGUAAAUUUCUAGGCAUGGAAACUUAAAAAUUUGUCAAGACUCAAUGUUUAGCUAGGUCUGGCAGGUUUCAGGAAGUUACACAUUUAAACCAGAUGAUCACAAGACUAGUGUAUAUUCAUUUUAAAUCAGAGAUAGCAAACAGAUUGUUAAAUAGACAAAAGAAAGGGAAAAGCUCAGCCUGAGCUAGGACAACUUUUAACCAUAAGAAAGAUAAUCAAACUGUGUUGAAUCUGAAAUUUUAACAAACAACAUAUGAUAAUGAAGAAAUGCUAGAUGGAACAACAAUAACUCGAUUGAUUCAAACUAUACUAGAGAUUAGCUAAAAAACUAAUAAUUUGGGCACAACAAAGUUCAGCAUAACACUCGGUCCAAACAAACUUGAGGCAGUGAAGUACACAACUUACAACUCUAAACAUAUGUAUCUAAAGAAAGCAAUGAAGAGAAAUCAACAACUAUAUAACAUGGAUUUCAAAGUCGAAUGAAAAUAAUAGCAACUAGAAACGCCUAUAAAGACUUAUGAACUCGACUAAGUAAAAGAACCAAAUUCACAUCUUGAACUAUAUAAGAAGAAGAAAAAACCAUCAGUAGAGCAAAAUAUUUAAUAAACUCAUUUAAAAUUGAAUAAUAAAAACUUUUGUUGUCGUUCACAUAACCAUUACACUAAUCACAUUGAAUCUAAAAAAUAAUUAAUACUAAAACAAACAACAAUUCUGCAAUGCAACAGAGAGAAAGGAUUAAAGAAAGAGCAAGAAGAUUACUUGGUUCUGGGCAGCGAACCGGAUGGACGAGUUUGACGAUGACAACCUCUACCACCAAAACGAGACUAUGAGGACUCCUAUGAAUGAGCAAGGAAUCCACACUAUAAUCGCACUGAUCUCUCCUCUGUUUCGAAUGUGCUUAGUACGUAUUUUUACUGUUUUUGCUUAAGUUGUUCCAAAUAUUUUUUUUGCUCAAAAAAAAUCCCCCCUAUGAAUGAAUAAGGAGGAGGUUUAUAUAGGGGAAAUUAGGGUUCGUAAUAGAGGGGAAAAGAUGAGGGUAAAACGGGUAAGAACCAAGGAACGAAUUCAAAAUUCAAAAUUCUCCUCUUAUCCUCAAACAGGGGAGAGCUUAUUUUCGCUCAAAUCCAAAAGAUUUCAAAAAGAGGAAGGGCGAGGUGGACGUCUAGGAUGAUUCCAAUGUCCUUGAACGUCGACGUGUCUCCAUCUUAAGCUGAAAAAGGACAAAAAUGCGGCUGUUGCAGGUGCUUUUCGCUGGAAUCGCGACUGGAACAGUACCAUCGUACUGGGUGAAGAAGGCGACGAGAAUAAAAUUGUUACGCGUACAUAAACGCCGUGAAUCGCUUUCCGUCCGCUUGUGAACGUUGGAGGAAAUAUUGUUGAUGCUUCCGUCUGCUGGCUGUGAAGACGUCGUGCAUUUUGACGUCGCGCUGCUUGGGCUCGCUGGAUUCGGGUCACGUUCUGGCUGGGUUUCGCGAGUUGGGUCACGUUUCUGCGUGAAAGAGAAAGAAGAAGAACAUACGGGGGUGGGGUCGUUUCUGGUAUUUGUU